UACGUAGGAGGCGAGCGUUGUCCGGAAUUGCUGGGUGUAAAGCGCGCGUAGGUGGGAGGCCAAGUCUGUGGUGAAAUCGCCCGGCUCAACUGGGCGGGGUCCAUGGAAACUGGUCACCUGGAGGACGGUAGAGGCGAGUGGAAUUCCCGGUGUAGUGGUGAAAUGCGUAGAGAUGUGGAGGAACACCAGUGGCGAAGGCGGCUUUUUGGUCUGUAACUGACGCUGAGGCGCGAAAGCGUGGGGAGCAAACAGG
rnacentral:rRNA from 1 species